rnacentral:tRNA from 1 species
GCUGAAUUAGUUUAGUGGUAAAAUAAGUGAAUGGUAAUCACUCGCCCCGAGUUCGAUUCUCGGAUUCAGCACCA